UCGGGAAUUUUGGGCAAUGGGCGAAAGCCUGACCCAGCAACGCCGCGUGAAGGAUGAAGUAUUUCGGUAUGUAAACUUCGUAAGAAUAGGAAGAAUAAAUGACGGUACUAUUUGUAAGGUCCGGCUAACUACGUGCCAGCAGCCGCGGUAAUACGUAGGGACCAAGCGUUGUUCGGAUUUACUGGGCGUAAAGGGCGCGUAGGCGGUGUGUCAAGUCGGUUGUGAAAUCUCCGAGCUUAACUCGGAACGGUCAACUGAUACUGUCACACUAGAGUACAGAAGGGGCAAUCGGAAUUCUUGGUGUAGCGGUGAAAUGCGUAGAUAUCAAGAGGGACACCUGAGGCGAAGGCGGGUUGCUGGGCUGAUACUGACGCUGAGGCGCGAAAGCUAGGGUAGCAAACGGGAUUAGAUACCCAUGUAGUCCCUGAGCGGGCUGGCAAGGCGCAU
rnacentral:rRNA from 1 species